rnacentral:misc_RNA from 1 species
UACGGAGGGGGCUAGCGUUGUUCGGAAUUACUGGGCGUAAAGCGCGCGUAGGCGGACCAGCCAGUCAGAGGUGAAAGCCCGGAGCUCAACUCCGGAAUUGCCUUUGAUACUGUUGGUCUGGAGUCCGGGAGAGGUGUGUGGAAUUCCGAGUGUAGAGGUGAAAUUCGUAGAUAUUCGGAGGAACACCAGAGGCGAAGGCGGCACACUGGACCGGUACUGACGCUGAGGCGCGAAAGCGUGGGGAGCAAACAGG